AAAGAAGUUAGAUUUCUUUUAAAU
rnacentral:siRNA from 1 species